rnacentral:rRNA from 1 species
AAACUAACAAGGAUUCCCCUAGUAACUGCGAGUGAAGCGGGAAAAGCUCAAAUUUAAAAUCUGGUAGUCUUUGGCUGCCCGAGUUGUAAUCUAGAGAAGCGUUAUCCGCGCUGGNCCGUGUGUAANUNUCCUGGAAUGGAGCNUCAUAGAGGGUGAGANUCCNNUUUNNAACACGGACCACCAGGGCUUUGUGAUGCGCUCUCAAAGAGUCGAGUUGUUUGGGAAUGCAGCUCUAAAUGGGUGGUAAAUUCCAUCUAAAGCUAAAUAUUGGCGAGAGACCGAUAGCGAACAAGUACCGUGAGGGAAAGAUGAAAAGAACUUUGGAAAGAGAGUUAAACAGUACGUGAAAUUGUUGAAAGGGAAACGCUUGAAGUCAGUCGCGUUGGUCAGGGAUCAACCUU